rnacentral:rRNA from 1 species
AUGUAUGUUCUUACAACAUUAAUGGACUAGAUCUGAUCAAAACUCUACAGUUAAGCACGUUUGGGCUAAAUUAGUGAUGGGAUAGGUAUGCGCUUGGGAUAGAGUAGUGCUAGGAUGGGUGACCUCCUGGGAACUCCUAGUGUUUUACAUG